rnacentral:lncRNA from 10 species
ACAGGCUCAAGGUUGAAAGGAGAGUUCUCUGGCCCUUCAUUCCUUCCAUCAUAUGAGGACACUGGGUUAGUUCUCUCUGGAGGAUGCAGCAACAAGACUCCAUCUUGGAAGCAGACAGCAAUUUUCACCAAACAUGCAACAGGCCAGUGCCUUGAUCAUGGACUACCCAGCCUCCAGAACUAUCUCCAGUUGGUUGAAUGUGUGCAUGUAGAACCCACAGACACAGAGGAUGGGCUACAUUAUGUAGCGUCAGUGAUGGCUUCAUAGAAGAGUUGGCUUAAAAAAAUAGAUCAAAGUGGCUGACUAGAGGCACCCAGCACUUACUCCACAAAAAAAGACCAAAACAUCAACUGGAUAACCACACAUUAAAUGGACCUUCUAAGGGAGAACACUGGAAUGAAACAAGGAAGUGACAAAAACCCCCAUGAGACAUGAAAACUCAGGAUGGCAGUAUAUAGACAGAAAUAAAGAAGUCAGCCAGGAUUGGCUUGGAAUCAAGAAGGAGUCUCCAUUGAAGAGAAAA